UACGAAGGUGACAAGCGUUAUUCGAAAUCACUGGGCUUAAAGGGUGCGUAGGCGGAAAUGUAAGUGUCUUGUGAAAUACCUUGGCUUAACCAAGGCAUUGCUCGGCAAACUGCAUUUCUUGAGGCAAGCAGGGGUGUGUGGAACUCUUGGUGGAGCGGUGGAAUGCGUAGAUAUCAAGAGGAACGCCGAAGGUGAAGACAGCACACUGGGCUUGUCCUGACGCUGAUGCACGAAAGCGUGGGGAGCAAACAGGAUUAGAUACCCUGGUAGUCCACGCCCUAAACGAUGUCGACUAGGUUGUAGAAGUUCUGACACUGUUACAGCCGAAGCAAAAGUGUUAAGUCGACCGCCUGGGGAGUACGGUCGCAAGGCUAAA
rnacentral:rRNA from 1 species